UUCAUGACGCCACUUGCAAAAACAAGAAGCAGAGGCGAGUGUUGAACAGGUAGCUCGGUUUAAUGGGUAUUUCAUAUUAAUUUGCUUCGCUUAACGCUCGAUACCGCCGAAACGAAACGUUCACGUUGAAAUACUGUGACAUGUUAGACUGAAAUAUGUUUCGGAGUAUUCGUUGUACGAUUUGUUUACGGCUUAAUGCCGUUAACGACAGUUAGCUUCCAAAUGCUACCGUUAAGCUAAAGAGAAACAUUAGCUGGCUAACUAUCAGUUCCAGUAUAUGUUUAAUGUCAGUAAACAUCAUCUUAAUUCACACUUUUUAAUUUAAUGAAUAUCUCCUUGUCACUCAUUACCUGGGAUUCUGACAACAAGUGGAGAUAUUGUUGAAUAACUGCGAUAAUGGCGUACAACUUACUACAACAUGUAGCAGAAUAUUCAAGAAAUACAUUUUAAAUCGGAGAUCGCGUGUUUCUCAUUUGUUUUCCGACUCAAACACACGGAACUCCAGUGUAUUAACAGUUACAGGACACCACAGCGUCCAUCAUGUCGAACCUGGACACAGUCAUAGUCACCUUUCAGACCCAGCUCUCAGAUGUGAUGGAGGCUGUGGUGAAGACAGCAAUGUCUGAGGUCACCAGGUUGGUUGAGGACGUGGUCUUGGUGGAGGUGAAGCGCAGGAACCAGGAGGUGGAGUCCCUGAGGAUGCAGCUGAAAUGGACUGAAAGUAAAUUUAGUGACCAAGGGAGUAAAGAAGGAGGAAAGACUGGAAAGUGUGUCGACUGUGCAAGAGAUGAUGUGGAACUGUCCACUGACACUGUUGAGGAAAGGCCUGUAGAGCAACGGGGUGACAUAUUGAAAAGCUGUGGUGUGAAAAAAGAGGGUGAUUCUGUUGAAAGGUGGAUACCAAGCAGCAGACAAGAAGUCAUAUCAGAGUCACCACAGGAGGCAAACAAUCCUUCAAACACACAGAGCCCUGAAAGACAAUCACAGGCAAUUGAAGAAGAGGAUGUGAUGCCAGCUGUUGAUAUGAAGGGGGAAGAAGUUAAUAAUCCAUCUUGCUCUUCUAUGAUUUUGGGAGGAUGGAGUGGUACACUUGAUGAUGAAGACGUACCGAAAUCAGACAAUACUGCUGAGAUGGUUGAAGCACAACCAAAAGAGACUCAAGACAACGAGGAAUUUUUGAGGGCUAUCAUUAAGCAAGACCCACAGAUAUCAUAUGGAUUUUGUGAAGACCAGCAGAAAUCACACAUUGCUACAGAUCAACCAUGUGUUUCAUCUUUGGAAAUGGACACCAGUUGGGCUGGCCUGACUGUCAAAGCAGCUGGAUUGCUACAAAAUCACAGACUUGGAGCUGAAAAGGAACGUGAUUCAGUCAACACUAAAGGUUCUCUGAAGCGUACAGAACAUGAGCUGUCUGACUCUGUCAGAGCAGAUGUUCAGGUUACCCCAGGCAGAGAUCAGAUUUCAACCUCAGGAUCCCCUAAGGCAAGACUGCAGCAAAGUGCUACUUUGGGAGUGACUAUCAAGGAGGAAGUUAUCAUCGAUUCUGAUGGGUGUGAGGAAAGUGAGCAUGUAGAAGAGAAAGUGACAAAGUCUGGGAUGGCAUCUCUCUCCUGUUCCGUAAAGCAACACAGGGUGAGUUCAGAAGCACACAAACCAAACCACAUUUACCACAAAGCCACUGUGCAGGAGGUUAUGAAGCUGCAUUCCAGGGGUACGGGGGUCAGAUUGCAAGCCGCUAUACAACACCUCCACCGACCGAUGAAGAAGCCCCCACACACACUUUUGAAUAGUACCAAUGCAGCACUGUCUGUAGCUCACUCUCAGGUUGUAAACUUAAAUAACCUCAACAGAAUUCCUUCCACAUCCAAAGCCACUCCUCCUUCUGCAUCCUCAGUCCAGCGAGUUCACCUGGGUGACAAACAAACUUCAGCACUUAACCGAUCUGGGGCUCCGUGGGUCAGCAUCAAAUCGCAGCAUCAGUCAGCAAACUCUCAGCACGCCAACCCUGCCCCCCAUCCAGACUCUCACCCUCACCUGGGCCCCAGGCACCUUCUGCGCUGUGGUCAAUGUGGGAAGUGCUUCCCCCACCCCAGCAACCUGAAAGCCCACCUGCAGACUCACACAGGCGAGCGGCCUUUCUGCUGUUCCCUCUGUGGUCGUAGCUUCACGAAGCUGAGCAACCUCAAAGCCCACCGACGUGUCCACACUGGAGAGAGACCGUACUGCUGCUUGGCCUGUGGCAAACGCUUCACCCAGAAAUGUAACCUGAAACGCCACCAGAGGAUCCAUCUGGAUGUAUGAUGAUGGACAGCCAGUGAUCAAAAGACAAGUUUGGUGUGUGUUUCUUUUAGGCUACAUCCACACUAAUACAUUGGAAUUUUAAAAUACAUAACUUUUACCACAUUUACCUAGUGGCCAUGCUACUCUGGUGUUUUAGGACCCAUAAACCUGAGCGUUUUAAUUUGAAAACUCCAGGAUUUAUUGUAGUCUUGAACUGAGACAAAUGGACUCUUUGAAAUGAUGACACAUUCUUCUGAUUGGUCUAAACUGUCAGUAUGUGUUGUUCACCGCUUUACAUCAUGUGACAGUUUUCCAGAAGAAAACAAAGCUAUCAGCCUACCAGUGGUUUAUUUAACAUGUAUAACAAAUUACCAGCAUUGCUUACUUUGUUGUCUAUGCUAGCAGCUGUUGUGCAAUUCAGGAAAUCUCUAUUUUUUGACAUUGUUGUUCUUUCUCUGUAGUAUUUUCUACAACUGAACAACUUCAUGUUUACACUGACGCCUGCAUGCCUACUAUAUGUGAAUGGUCAUGUGAUAUGUGUAUUCAGGACUGUUAAAUUGACCAACACUCUUCCGGACAAAGAUAAUUUUUGUGUUAAAACAUUGGUUUUAAAAUAAAAACAUGUUAGUGUGGAUGUAGCCUUCAAUUACAAUGCUACAGAGUUUACAUUGCAGUGCCGUACAAAUUGUGUGACACAUUGCAAGACUGCUUCUGUGUACUUGUCUGUUAAAGUGUCAUCCCAAAUUCUUCUGUGCAUUCCAGAAAGGUUCAUCUAGUAACUUUUGGUUGCUUUAGUGUUAUUAGCAGAUGAAAGGCAGUGUGUUGUUAAAUGUAACUUGCGCAAAGAUAGUUGCAACUUGUAGUCAAUAAAUGGCUGUGAAUACUCAUUUUUUUUCUGUUUUGUCAACCUGUGAGAACAAAAGCAGAUAUUUGCUAUAGAUCAGAGCCUCUAUUUAUCAUAAGAGAAAUUUUGGACAAACAUAGCUCCAAAAAUGAAUUAUCAAAGUUCCCCUAAAAUACUGUGAAAUUAAGCAGAGGUACACAUUUCUGUUAAGUUGUUUGAGGGUAGCUUUAGCAAUAGUUGAUGGCUGCCGCACAAAAACGGUUGAGAACAAACAUUCUUAUACAUGUUAAUUAAUGGUCAUGACUUUUGAUGAAAAACAUGUUAGUGGAAGCAUUAUAAUUCAGAGUAGUGUCAUUUUAGCAUUGUCAUUUUUAACAUUUGCACUGCAUUUCAGCAUUUCAUAUGAAGUUCCGCCGUUGAUUUCAUGGGUUGCCUUUUUUGCUUCAGUUUAAAGUAUUUCAUUCAUCUUUACUUGUUAAUGUAUCAUAAAUCUAGUAGAUUGUUAAUUGGAGAUUAUUGGACGUAUUAAAGAUUUUUUUAAAAAAAUCACUGACCAUUUACUGCUGUGAACAAAACAUAAUUUGAAGAUUUUUUUGUGUAGUAUGUGUGAUUUUGUUAAAAACUUGUGUUUUGUUUCUGCUAAGAUUUCUGUACCAAAACCCUGAAAAGUGCAUCUUUUGAAAGAUUGAGAAUCACUCCAUUUGUCAUUAGCAUCAUGAGUGGUUGCUGAAUUCAUACAUAUUUACUCAUUGAAUACAGCUCUAUCAAGUUAAAAAAAAAAACACUACAAAAAUUCCUUAAUUUUAAAUUACUCAACAGUACUGUGGUACGUUCAUUGAACACUUGGUGUCAGCCUUUCACAGCCUUUCGUUUACUGUAGGUAUCAGAACCUCGGCAGAGUUUCGCAGACAAUUUCUUGUUCUCUUGUCUGGCUUCUGAUGUAUUAAUGGAAUAGAGAGGUACUCUUACAGAACAACGUUCCAUUGGAGUCAAUUCAUGGUAACAAGUGUCUGCAGGCACUGUUUUAGUCAAUCUGUGCACCCAAGCCUGUGUGUGUUACACAUCUUAUGCUAAGGAUUAAGCUUGAUGUGGUGUAUCUAUUGUUCGAGUCAGAGCAGCACUGUGCAGGUGAUACAACUGAUAACAUUUUAAUCUUAUUUUCAAGGUGAGGAAAAAACUAGCAGAGGCUAAACUCUUUCUGUGCAUGUGUGUGUAAGAGAGAGAACAUGUGGAUUAAAGCAGGGCUUCUGUUCUAGAUGAUAUCUUUCUUUUUUGAUGUUUGAACCCAAUAACGAGAAGUUAUCUAUGAAGAGCAAUUGAGAAAUGCCUACUUAGCUGAAUCUGCAGUGAGCCUAGUAGAUAGUGGCUGCUGUGUGAGGGGGUUGUGAAACUGUCUGCUCACAGUUGAAUGUGUGGGAGUACUCAGUAUAUACAAACAUAUUCCUGUACAUUGGCCAACAUAUACCUUCUGCCUGUGCAUUUUAAACAGCACCUUCAUCUUGUCUGAAUCAUUUUUCUCUUUCUAAUCGAAGCACUGUGAUGUAAGCAUCCCCUCUGAAAAUGUUUAAUUACUUAAAAAGCAAACAAAACAAGACACUUUCAUUUUCCAUUCCUGUUCUCUUUAGUUUCCUCAUUUGGACACAUUUCCUGUUCUUUGUACCAGCUUUUCUUUUUUUUUUCCCUUGGCCUUGCAGUGAUGUGUAAGCCUCACUAAGGCGGGAGCAUUAUGAGGAAUAGAAGGCUGUGUUUCGGUACAGGGGGUGUAACAGAAAGCUACUUCAGGCUGAGCUGCUGUUCAACUGGAUUUUAGUUGAAAAAGAAUGAAAGAAGGAGAAGAAAGCAUACUGGAGGAUGUUAAACAGGGAGAGAACCUUAGUGGAUCUAGACAGUCAUGGAACACUUCAAGAUGUUGUUACCAGCUUGUACAAAUUGGUGACUGUGAUUAAAAGUAUACCUGAGCAAAAUACUGAUCUUCCACUUCUGUCCUUAUCAUUGAAGAGACUAUAAGAAAAAUACUGGGUUGAGGAGAGCUGCAGGAUCAAAUACCUUAUUAUAUUUAAAGAAGGACCCUUUCCAGCAUUGCUAAUGGAACAAACUUCACAGCCUGUUAAGAGGGGAAAAAGUCUAUAUUUUCAUUACUUUCUUUGAAUACUUUCUUCAAGCCAUUUUUUGCCUUCACUUAAGUAGACACUGAUCAGCCACAUCAUUGUCACCACCAGCCAAACAAGUCCAGCAUGGACUCCACCAAAAAUCUGAAGGUGACCUGCAAUGUCCUGUGGGGUCUCAAUCAAGCAAACUUGCUUUUCUAGCAUGUCAUAGAUGCAUAAUUGGAAUGUGAUCUGGAAAAUUUGGUGGAAGCCACUGCCAUCAGGAAAAACUGUUGUCAUGAAGAGGUAUGUGUCAAAAUGUCCAUACGAGUGCCAGGAUGCAAGGUUUCGCACCAGAAUAUUGCCCAGACCCCCAUAUUGCGUCUAAUGGCAUGCUUCAUUCCCAUAAUGCAUCCUGUCGAAAUUUCUUCCCCAGGUGAAUCAUGCAAAUCCAACCAGAUGUCCAUAUGAUGGAAAAGAAGACAUGAAAUGUCCAACCAGGCCACCUUCUAUUGCUCCAUGUCCAGUUGUAUUGCUCAUGUACCAUCUGUUGGCACUUUCACUGUGUGUUCUAACAAGAGAUACAUGUUAUUCAUUCGCCUGUCAGGGGUUUUAAUGUUGUGGUUGACUGUUAUACAGUGUAGAGUUACACCUCUGGCUGAAGGCUUAGGCCAGGUCACAUUAGAAUAAACUGACAAAAUCCAUAUAAAAAGGAUUCCAAGGUGGAUGGAUGGUUCAACAAAAUUCUGGAUUAACAAAGGAGACUGCAGUUUGUUUGCUUCCUAUUUCCAACUGAAAGCCAGUGCUGUCUUUUUUAUAUAAAAGAAUGACCAUGAUUGCAUCCUCGACUUUGUUUGUUAUCGUACCCUUGAUGACAAAGAUCUUCUAACCAUAAAAUAGCAGCUAUUUUACUCCAAACUGUGAUACUUUUCUAAAAUUCACCAAGUUGUGUUGGUGCCUGAACUCAAUCAAACCUUAACCACAAUGUCUUUAUGUCAUUAAAACCAAUUUAUUUUGUUUUGAAAUCCCGUUUUGCCAAUGAGGGCAUUAGAUCUGAAUACUCUCUUAUGUGUUGUUUUUAUGUAAAACAAACAAACAAAAAAACUGUUUUCAUUUUUUGUGCUCCUGAAUAAACAGCUGCCAAGUAAACCAGGAACAGGUUAUAGCAAAAUGCACCUCCAUUGCCCACAUGGAAGCCAUGUUUCUGGAUGGAACUAUCUAAUCCAUGUUCUGUUACAGUUUCACCAUUUAAUGUCAACAAACCUGUGGAUAAGGAGUCGAAUGUCUUCAGAGUCUUGAUGUUUGGAAGGCGCUCAUCUGACUGUCAAGUUAUAUUCAGCAUGUAUGACGAGGACAGUACAGUCAGUUUUUAAAAAUUCCAUAAAAGUCACAGAUGUAAAUUAUGAAGUCAAAUGAAAUCAAUUGGGUAAGAAAUCUUUCCCUGCUCUCCCAGAAAAGGUAGACCUUUUUUUUGCCUCUCCCAUACCCAAAUAUAUUUUCUACAGUCCAGAAAUCUUUGUAAAGUCGAAAACACACAAAAUCUCCAGUGUAUUCCUUCAUAAUCAAGACUUGUUUUGGUUUUGCCUUCAGAUCCCCCACUGUUUUUAAUAUGUUCAAAAUUGUAGCACGUGCAACUCAGCACUGUCUAGUGUGUUGUAGCCACCAUCUUUAAUUACCUCGAACCCGCUAACGCUUCCCUGAGCUGGGAGAGACAAAAGAAAACAGCCAGACAAGAGAGACAACAGACAGAUUGUGCCAAAGGAUAGAAAAAGGAGGCAAAUAAUUAUGUUUUUCUCUGACAAAUUCAUCUCACAUUAUUGGUAUUAAGGGAGCUGCAGCCCCCUUUAAUGCACUUUUUAAAAAAUUAUUAAUUUGCAGGGCAAUAAUGGCAUUAGCAGUGCUUGACUGGACUUAAUAAUGCCUCUUUGUACUUGAAUUGAUAGUUGAAGAAACUUUUUCUUUUCUAUGUCAAAUCAUUCCAAUAUAAUAUUCAAUGCUUAACAGGCUACAGAGUGCACUGUGGAAGAUUUAUGUCAAGGCUAGUGUGCCUUAUUCAUAACACUUUCAUAUUUCAUAAAAGCAGCUCAGGCAGAAGAGAAUGAACUUUGAUGUGUUUUUCAGUCAAAAUUUUAUUCCCAUUUGUUGUAAGUCCACUAAAUCCAUUAAGAAGGGGGUUUAAAUCCUUGAGCUUCACCUUCUUUUUCAUUGUGAAUGAAAGAAUAAGUGCAGGUAUGAAGACACCGCUAUUUUACUUGUUUCUCCUAAGAUUCUCUGAACAGAGAAUGUAUUCACAAACAAUUAGAGAGUACUCUCAGAGAGCACCUCACUUAGCCUUUCUUCUUUAUAAAAGUUUUCAGGGAGACUUAAAUCCUAGCAAGGAAGUGUAGUUGACUGUGCUGCUGGGUAAUGUGUUGUAUUUUAGAUACUGUGAUUGGUUAAUCAAGAACAUUUUUGUGCGGUUUAUCAGAAUGCACAGUGAAACUGGUAACAACAAUUUAACAAUCUGAUGUUUGAAUGGACUGAGAUAUUGGACAGUAGCAUCACUACAAGUAGUGAG